rnacentral:pre_miRNA from 1 species
UUUAUAUUCCCUCCGUCCGGAAAUACUUGUCAUCAAAAUGGAUAAAAGGAAAUGUAUCUAGAAGUAUUUUAGUUCUAGAUAUAUAUUUUUUUAUCCAUUUUGAUGACAAGUAUUUUUGGACAGAGGGAGUAAAAA